rnacentral:tRNA from 1 species
UAUGUCUUAGUAUAGGGUGUAUACAGGUUUUUGAAGCCUUAGGCGUUAGUUAAAUUCUAGCAGGCAUAG